GCUCGAGUUGUAAUUUGAAGGUAGUUUUCUGGUGCUGGCCCUUGUCUAUGUUCCUUGGAACAGGACGUCAUAGAGGGUGAGAAUCCCGUCUGAUGGGGUGUCCAGUGCUUUGUAGAUUUCUACCGAAGAGUCGAGUUGUUUGGGAAUGCAGCUCUAAGUGGGUGGUAAAUUCCAUCUAAAGCUAAAUAUUGGCGAGAGACCGAUAGCGAACAAGUACAGUGAUGGAAAGAUGAAAAGAACUUUGAAAAGAGAGUGAAAAAGUACGUGAAAUUGUUGAAAGGGAAGGGUAUUGGAUCAGACUUGGUGUUUUGUGAUUAUCUUCCCUUCUUGGGUUGUGCACUCGCAUUUCACUGGGCCAGCAUCGAUUCGGAUGGUAAGAUAAUGGCUUGAGAACGUGGCACUCUUCGGGGUGUGUUAUAGCUCUUGUUGAUGUUGCCUAUCUGGAUCGAGGACUGCGGCUUUUGCCUAGGAUGCUGGCGUAAUGAUUCAAUACCGC
rnacentral:rRNA from 1 species